UCACUUGGUGUCGAUAAUGCCACGAUAAGGACUGUGAAUCGGGACUGCCAUAGCUAUCGUAGUCUGCAUUAUCGCAUCCAGAGGUUCUACCGCGCACUCGACUUUCCCUUGCAGCACGGUGGCCAUAUUAUCCAGCGUCAUGAAAGCGUAUUUCUUCUCCUGACAAACACGAUUCAAACCGUCCAAAUAGUUUACCGGCAGAUCAAGUUCCCUGGCCAACAGCUCCUCGAACAUGACCGUGAGCACGGUGUCACUGGUGUUCUAUUUGUGCCCGAGAAAAACCAGCGAAAUAUUUUCACAUUGAUGGCGGAUGGUGGAUGUAAAAAUACGAUCUCUUACCUGGAAGAAACUGUAAUCGGCCGAAUCACCAACCACGGCAAAUCGAUAGGUACCAUCUUUCAGCAAACCCUCCAUCGUGGUAAAUGGCAUCACAAACGUCUUUAUGGCCAAGAAGCUGAUUAACGCUGCCGAAUAAGCUGCAAGCACCACCACGCCUGUUAAGUGAACGUUCAGAUGCACCAGUCGCGUGGGAUCCAAAGGAGACGGUUCCAUGCCUGUUCACAAAUUCGAAAUUAAGACUCCCCGUCCUUCGACAUUACCAAA
rnacentral:misc_RNA from 1 species